AUGGUGGCGGCGCUGCCGCCGGCCGAGGGCCGGGGGCUGGAGGGGAGCGUUCGCGCAUGGGAGUUGGGUGGCCUCUCCUCCCUGGAGUGGAGCACCUUCAGGCGGAGGGGGAGGGAGAUUCUCCUUCGCUCCUCAGAUCGCCAACGGUGUUUGCGGCUGAUGCAAGAAAGAGCAGAGAAAAUUUUCAAGGCCCGUCCAAUUCAAGUGGAGAUCAAGAAAGUAUUGGAGGGGAUUCAUCCCGCGGAAUCAGUGGAUGGGAGUAUUGGCUUUCAAUCCUCCAGUACCGCUGCUAAUCCGGGGAACCAAUUUGUGAAUCGGCCGGCAGUUUCUAAGGAAUUUAAGGCAGAUUUGAAGAACAAAGGGAAAGGUGGUGGUCUUGCGGUGUUCUGGGAUGAUUCUUAUACUAUACAGCUGAACAAAUAUGGGGAGCAUUUCAUUGAUAUGUUUAUCUGUACUGCUAAUGGAGCAAAGUGGAGAAGCACCUUUAUCUAUGGAGAGCCUAAGGCUAGUCAAAGGUACGUCAUGUGGGAACUUUUGCGGAGAAUUAAGCCUAUGGGUUCUGGUCCUUGGUUCAUGGCUGGAGAUUUCAAUGAAGCGACGUGGCAAAAUGAACAAUUUUCUCGGAAUAAAAGGUCCAAUUCUUUGAUGGCUGAUUUUAGGAGUGUGCUCUCUGAUUGUAAUCUUUUUGACUUGGGGUUUCAUGGUACGCCGUGGACUUAUGACAACAAGCAAUAG
rnacentral:rRNA from 1 species